CCUUACUUGAGUGUUCUGCUUGCUUAGUAUUCUAAAUCUUCAACCUUGAGAAGCAAAAGGAUAGAUCUUAACUUGGUUAGAGAAAGGCAAGGAGGCCUAAAAUAUAACCAAGGUCACAUCUAUAUGAGAUUCCCAGGGAAGGAACUGCCCUCGCCCGAGCUUCAGGAAUCCCUUGGCUGGCUUCUGUAAACUCCUGGGAGUUGCCACAAAAGAAUGAAUGCCAUCUCCCGCCAUCGUCAUGACCACAAACAUCAGCUCCACUGCCAUGGCGAUCUCCGAUGAUCUCUCAGUCAGUGAAGGACUAGCUACUUGUGAUCAGAGCAGAGCCAUGGCUAUUAGAAUUACCAUUGCCGUAAUGCCUCCAGAAA